UAAUGUGUUGUUUUGCACGUAAAACAUGAACUGAAGCCUGCAUGCGCGUGGAUUCUGGAAAAAAGGGCAAAGGGCAAGGGGAAAGGGUGUUCGUUCGUUGUUUGUUAGAGCGGCCGGGAAUCGUCCCGUUCCCUAUUAUCAAGUGAAUCCACCACCAUUCCCGAGGGGUCACCUUCCUCGCCAUCAUUUCCCACAUCGUUGAGACCUAGGGUUUGAAAGCUUAAUUCUGGUCAUUGUGCGAUCUGACCCUGCCGCCAUUGCCGUCUUCUUCGUCGGGGUCCUCAUUUCCAACAACAUCAUUCAGAGGGUUGAAAGAAAGGUUCCCGUUCAGUCAUUGUGCGAUCUGAUCAGCUGCCAUUGCCGAGUUCUCGGAGGGUGGGUCCUCCUCCUCCUCAGAAGAGAAAUAAAAUAAUGACGACGAUGAUUACGCACGAAGAAAAUCGUGCGAUUUUCCAUUUCCAAAACGUUUCCUUGUCUUGUUCACCCCACAGAAUUUCCAGUUUACGCGUUCGGUUCAGGUAGGAGUUUUUGUAGGAUCAGGCAUCUUGAAUUUGGCUUUUAAUUGUUAAUGGGAAUGAUAUAACAAGCUGGGCUGGGAUUUUGUGAUAUCUGUUCAAGUGCUUGAGGGGUAGUGCUGGAAUAUUGUUAGUCACGCCGGUUAGUGAAGUCUUGUAGUGAGCUAUUGUUUGUGUUAGGGUUAAUUAACACCCUAAACACUUUUCUGAGGAGUUGUGUUAUUGGAAUCUACUCGUACUGUUGAUGGGGAACACAUGUGUAGGGCCCAAUCUGGGGAACAAUGGGUUCUUGCAAUCUGUUACAGCUGCAGUUUGGAGAAGCCGCCAAACUGAUAACACUCUUCCUCCUCCUACUAAUGGAGAAUCCAGCACCAACAAGAAUAGCAACACCGAGGUGAAAUCAGAGCAACCUGAAAAACCUGAUUCACUUUCUGUAGGAAAAGGAGGAGGAGGUGGGUCUGAGGCUCUGGUCCGCGUCCAGAGCACUCCACCCGUGCCGGUCAAAAUAACGGGAGAGGAGGUUAAACGCAUAGAUACAACAAAGAGUAUCAAGCGGGAGACAACGAUCGUGAGAGGGAAUGAGCAAGAGGGCGGAAAACAGAACAAGCCGAGCCACAUUAAGCGGGUCUCGAGCGUGGGCCUCCAAAUCGAGUCUGUGUUACAGCGAAAAACCGGGAACUUGAAGGAGAUUUACACUUUGGGGAGGAAGCUUGGACAAGGGCAAUUCGGGACAACUUUCCUCUGCGUGGAGAAGGCGAACGGGAAGGAGUUUGCUUGCAAGUCGAUCGCGAAGAGGAAGUUGACAACGGAAGAGGACGUGGAGGAUGUGAGGAGGGAGAUUCAGAUAAUGCACCACUUAGCGGGUCACCCAAGUGUGAUUUCUAUCGUGGGUGCUUAUGAGGAUGCUGUUUCGGUUCAUGUUGUUAUGGAGCUUUGCGCGGGUGGGGAGCUUUUCGAUCGGAUUAUACAGAGGGGGCACUAUACGGAGAGAAAGGCAGCUGAGCUCGCGAGGGUCAUAGUCGGUGUAGUUGAAGCAUGCCAUUCUUUAGGAGUUAUGCAUCGGGACUUGAAGCCCGAGAAUUUCCUCUUUGUUAACCAGGAAGAGGAGUCUCCACUCAAGACAAUUGACUUUGGGCUCUCUGUAUUCUUCAGGCCGGGUGAAACAUUCACCGAUGUGGUUGGAAGCCCUUAUUAUGUGGCCCCAGAAGUCCUGCGGAAACUCUACGGUCCAGAAUGUGAUGUUUGGAGUGCCGGGGUUAUCAUUUAUAUCUUAUUGAGUGGGGUCCCACCUUUUUGGGAUGAAACGGAGCAAGGAAUAUUUGAGCAGGUUUUAAAAGGAGAACUUGACUUUGUAUCAGAACCGUGGCCUAGUAUAUCAGAUGGUGCAAAAGAUCUUGUGAGAAGAAUGCUUGUAAGAGACCCUAAAAAGCGGUUGACAGCCCACGAAGUUCUUUCUCACCCUUGGGUUCAAGUUGAAGGCGUAGCUCCUGAUAAACCUCUUGAUUCUGCUGUUCUAUCUCGUCUGAAGCAAUUCUCCGCAAUGAACAAACUCAAGAAGAUAGCCAUCAGAGUCAUUGCUGAGAAUUUGUCUGAAGAGGAAAUUGCAGGACUGAAAGAAAUGUUUAAGAUGAUAGAUACAGAUAACAGUGGCCAUAUCACACUCGAGGAACUGAAAAAAGGUUUGGAAAGAGUGGGUGCAAAUCUCAAGGAUUCGGAAAUUAACAGUUUAAUGCAAGCGGCCGAUGUCGAUAACAGUGGUACCAUAGAUUAUGGAGAGUUCAUGGCUGCAAUGCUCCAUCUGAACAAAGUCCUGAGAGAGGAUCAUAUGUAUGCAGCUUUCUCAUAUUUUGACAAAGAUGGGAGUGGAUAUAUUACACAAGACGAGCUCCAACAGGCCUGUGAGCAGUUUGGUCUGGGAGAUGUUCACUUGGAAGAAAUUAUCCGUGAAGUUGACCAGGAUAAUGAUGGGCGUAUUGAUUACAAUGAAUUUGUGGCCAUGAUGCAAGACACUGGUUUUGGCAUGACGAUUAGCAGAACAGCAUAAGCCUUUUGUUUACGAAAGCCUUCAAGAUUGGUUAUUACUUGGUACUAUCUAAUAUUUUUCUUGGUACUCCAACCAAUUGGAGGUGCAUGCCUUUGUAAAGAUCAGUCAGGUUUCGGGGAUGGAGAGGAAAUAACGAAUCGUUGCUUCUGCAAGGAUUGACACCCACCCCUAUGAAAGUGUACAAGGGUGGCCAAUUGAGCUUGCCCCAAUUGGUUAGAUCUUGCUUCUUCUGCGGCCCUUUGUUGGUUGGAAAUUCUCUGUGCAACAGGUACGUCAAGGUGAUGUGAAGGUCUAUCUAAAGCCAUACGGUAAAAAGCCCACAUGCUGGGAGAGAGGCAGUCUUACAACCUUUGGGUUUGCCUGUUACAUAACAAAUACCGCCUCCCAUGCUGUGCAUUCAACUUUGAUUUCGUUGUCUCAUUGUAAUCAUGUGUAUAUCCUGGGUUUCCUUUGAGGGCAUCAAUGCAAAAAAAAAAAAUCCUUCAUUUGAUUGUAUUCUGUGGUGGAAGGAAAGUGCACAUGUACCUUACAUGGGGUUCUGUUGAGGGGUUUUAUCAUCCCAUUCUGUUCAGCUGGUUGGGUUAGGAAUCUUAGGAUAGAUGCGUAUUCCUCGGCGAUUUUGAGGAAUGCACGAUAGCCUAUUACGCUCAACCGUGCCCCGUUCCGGGGCUGACAUUGUGAUCCGAAUCAUUUAUAUGGAAGCAUCUACCCAACUCCAGUU